UACAGAGGUCCCGAGCGUUGUUCGGAUUCAUUGGGCGUAAAGGGUGCGUAGGCGGUUUCCUAAGUUUGAUGUGAAAUCCCGGGGCUUAACCCUGGAAUUGCAUUGAAUACUGGGAGACUAGAGUACUGGAGAGGAAACUGGAAUUUACGGUGUAGCAGUGAAAUGCGUAGAGAUCGUAAGGAAGACCAGUGGCGAAGGCGGCUCACUGGCCCGAUACUGACGCUGAGGUGCGAAAGCGUGGGGAGCAAACAGG
rnacentral:rRNA from 1 species